GACGGAGGGGGCUAGCGUUGUUCGGAAUUACUGGGCGUAAAGGGCGCGUAGGCGGAUUAGUAAGUUGGAAGUGAAAUCCCGGGGCUUAACCUCGGAAUGGCUUUCAAAACUACUAGUCUAGAGUGAAGUAGGGGAUGAUGGAAUUUCUAGUGUAGAGGUGAAAUUCUUAGAUAUUAGAAGGAACACCGGUGGCGAAGGCGAUCAUCUGGGCUUCUACUGACGCUGAGGCGCGAAAGCGUGGGGAGCAAACAGG
rnacentral:rRNA from 1 species